rnacentral:rRNA from 1 species
CAGUAGCCGCGGGAAAACAGAGGGUGCAAGCGUUAAUCGGAAUUACUGGGCGUAAAGCGCGCGUAGGUGGUUUGUUAAGUUGGAUGUGAAAGCCCCGGGCUCAACCUGGGAACUGCAUCCAAAACUGGCAAGCUAGAGUACGGUAGAGGGUGGUGGAAUUUCCUGUGUAGCGGUGAAAUGCGUAGAUAUAGGAAGGAACACCAGUGGCGAAGGCGACCACCUGGACUGAUACUGACACUGAGGUGCGAAAGCGUGGGGAGCAAACAGGAUUAGAUACCCGUGUAGUCCCUGUCUCUUAUAU